rnacentral:lncRNA from 1 species
UGGGAGAUGUGGAGGCGGGCAAAAGCGACCAGGACAUCGAAGAAUCAGAACCCGAGAAUGUCGCUACGCAAUAGACGACUCCAUUGUUUACCUUUUCUGCCGUGUACCUUUUCUUCUUGCAGCCUUCCGCAAAAGCCCGCGAGCUCGUGCGUUCCCCCUUCGCCUGUUGGAGACUUUGUUUCUCAUGCUCGGCUCCGCGCCGUGCUGGACAGUAAUAGACGUCCGUGAUGGACAGUAAUAGACAUGGAGGGGCGUGAGGAUGGCGCCAUCGUGGAGAGUCAGCAAUCGCUUUAGCAAGGUGCGAGCGGGAGCACCCUUGUAGCAGUGGAAGAGGCGAAAGACAAUGCGGGGAAAAAGCGAACGUCUGUUCUGUGCCGGACACACUCUUGUCCGUCUCCGCCCACGUACUAUCGCGACAUGUCAAGAACCACCCUGUUCCUUUCCCGACCGGUUGGCAUGUGGAUGCUUACACGUCCACAGUUAAGGUGAUCUCGCAAGCGGUCGCUCAGCCGAUGGACCGUGGCGAGUGCAUGCACGUUGACAGCCGCUUAGGAGCCCACGCGUCACUGAGCAGCAGCCCAAAAUGACCGCGUCCUCUCUCCAACGCGGAUGCCAGGUGUCUGCAGAACAUCCACCGAUCCAGUUCCCCGCAGCUGUUCUGCGUUUCGCAUUGCGCCACUAGGCAUAUGAUGUUUCUCUGAACCUGUUUCUUCCCCGUUUGUCAGUCGCAAGCAAUGGUAAGUGCUCGUAGGCGUGGCGAUUUCGAGGGUGCACCCUCAUGUUCGACGUGCCUUGUCGCUAAGAUGCCGCGCGCGAGGGGAGAAUGAAAUGCACGGGAAUUGCCGACUCACACUUCUGGGACAACAUUUUAGUCACGGGCUUAGCGAGGUCUUCAAAAAGCCCUUUUUGUCGCAACGACACCGAGAUCGAGGUUCUGUAGAGAGCUCCUAGGAGGGGGGGGGGAUGCAUGCGAUUCGUCAGUUGCGUCCCGGGCUAGGGAAGUGGAGCCGACCGAAAUCGUCGGGCUGACAAGGGAAUUGCCCGUUCGUUUUGGCAUCCCGAUGUCAUGGCAAGGCGCGCAGCUUGUGGAGAAAACGUUCGACCUAACCGAGUGUCGGGGCUGCGCUUUUUCCUGCAUUCAACUCUAGACCGUGCGUGAAAACCUCCAGAAAAAAGAGGCUGCCUUCCACCGCCGAUAGGAAAUGAUUUUUUUCGCGUGCCGCGGCCUUGCUGGGAUGAGGAGUUGUGACGUCUGCUUCGCGGUCAGCCCGUCGCUCGUCUGGGAGCAGAAAUCGAGAUACGACAAGGCAGAAACCGUUUGCGAUAGAUUGCAGGAUUGCCGCUCUCCGGGCGAAAUGGGGCAUGCACGCCCACAUCCGGCGUCCUGCUUGGCCUGUGAAAAUCUGCUCUCUUUUCAGAAGAAUGAGUCUGUACGUUUGUGUCUCCUUUUUGCCCGGACAUUAAAGGCAGGUUCAUGCUCUGCCCCGAACAGAACAUCAGCAAGACGUGGGACGAGAGGGUAAUGUGGAAAUCAGGAUUUCAACUUUUUGUUAAUCUUCGUUCAGUAGUCAUGCUGGGGUUUCCGUAAUAACUCGCGCACUCUCUUCCGGUGUUUCGCUGCUCGCCUGCUGUUGCCGAGCUCCCCU